rnacentral:rRNA from 1 species
GACGGAGGAUGCAAGCGUUAUCCGGAAUUAUUGGGCGUAAAGCGUCCGCAGGUGGCGAUUUAAGUCUGCUGUCAAAGACCACAGCUUAACUGUGGGCAGGCAGUGGAAACUGGAUUGCUAGAGUGCGGCAGGGGUAGAGGGAAUUCCCAGUGUAGCGGUGAAAUGCGUAGAUAUUGGGAAGAACACUAGUGGCGAAGGCGCUCUACUGGGCCGCAACUGACACUCAUGGAAGAAAGCUAGGGGAGCGAAUGGG